UACGUAGGGUGCAAGCGUUAUCCGGAAUUAUUGGGCGUAAAGAGCUCGUAGGCGGCUUGUCGCGUCGACUGUGAAAUCCCGCGGCUCAACUGCGGGUCUGCAGUCGAUACGGGCAGGCUAGAGUCCGGUAGGGGAGCGUGGAAUUCCUGGUGUAGCGGUGAAAUGCGUAGAUAUCAAGUGGAACACCAGUGGCGAAGGCGAGUCCCUGGACAACACCUGACACUGAGGCACGAAAGCUAGGGGAGCAAACAGG
rnacentral:rRNA from 1 species